UGGGGAAUAUUGCACAAUGGAGGGAACUCUGAUGCAGCGACGCCGCGUGAACGAAAAAGGCUUUCGAGUCGUAAAGUUCUUUUAUAUGGGAAGAUAAUGACGGUACCAUAAGAAAAAGCCCCGGCUAACUACGUGCCAGCAGCCGCGGUAAUACGUAGGGGGCUAGCGUUGUCCGGAAUCACUGGGCGUAAAGGGUUCGCAGGCGGAAAUGCAAGUCAGGUGUAAAAGGCAGUAGCUUAACUACUGUAAGCAUUUGAAACUGCAUAUCUUGAGAAGAGUAGAGGUAAGUGGAAUUUUUAGUGUAGCGGUGAAAUGCGUAGAUAUUAAAAAGAAUACCGGUGGCGAAGGCGACUUACUGGGCUCAUUCUGACGCUGAGGAACGAAAGCGUGGGUAGCAAACAGG
rnacentral:rRNA from 1 species